GACGAACGCUGGCGGCGUGCCUAACACAUGCAAGUCGAGCGAGUGAAUCUCCUUCGGGAGUGAAGCUAGCGGCGGACGGGUGAGUAACACGUGGGCAGCCUGCCUCAUAGAGGGGAAUAGCCUUCCGAAAGGAAGGUUAAUACCGCAUAAGAUUGUAGCUUCGCAUGAAGUAGCAAUUAAAGGAGCAAUCCGCUAUGAGAUGGGCCCGCGGCGCAUUAGCUAGUUGGUGGGGUAACGGCUCACCAAGGCGACGAUGCGUAGCCGACCUGAGAGGGUGAUCGGCCACAUUGGGACUGAGACACGGCCCAGACUCCUACGGGAGGCAGCAGUGGGGAAUAUUGCACAAUGGGGGAAACCCUGAUGCAGCAACGCCGCGUGAGUGAUGACGGCCUUCGGGUUGUAAAGCUCUGUCUUCAGGGACGAUAAUGACGGUACCUGAGGAGGAAGCCACGGCUAACUACGUGCCAGCCGCCGCCGUAAGAC
rnacentral:rRNA from 1 species